UUGAACGCUGGCGGCAGGCCUAACACAUGCAAGUCGAACGGUAACAGGAAACAGCUUGCUGUUUCGCUGACGAGUGGCGGACGGGUGAGUAAUGUCUGGGAAACUGCCUGAUGGAGGGGGAUAACUACUGGAAACGGUAGCUAAUACCGCAUAACGUCGCAAGACCAAAGAGGGGGACCUUCGGGCCUCUUGCCAUCGGAUGUGCCCAGAUGGGAUUAGCUAGUAGGUGGGGUAACGGCUCACCUAGGCGACGAUCCCUAGCUGGUCUGAGAGGAUGACCAGCCACACUGGAACUGAGACACGGUCCAGACUCCUACGGGAGGCAGCAGUGGGGAAUAUUGCACAAUGGGCGCAAGCCUGAUGCAGCCAUGCCGCGUGUAUGAAGAAGGCCUUCGGGUUGUAAAGUACUUUCAGCGGGGAGGAAGGGAGUAAAGUUAAUACCUUUGCUCAUUGACGUUACCCACAGAAGAAGCACCGGCUAACUCCGUGCCAGCAGCCGCGGCAAUACGGAGGGUGCAAGCGUUAAUCGGAAUUACUGGGCGUAAAGCGCACGCAGGCGGUUUGUUAAGUCAGAUGUGAAAUCCCCGGGCUCAACCUGGGAACUGCAUCUGAUACUGGCAAGCUUGAGUCUCGUAGAGGGGGGUAGAAUUCCAGGUGUAGCGGUGAAAUGCGUAGAGAUCUGGAGGAAUACCGGUGGCGAAGGCGGCCCCCUGGACGAAGACUGACGCUCAGGUGCGAAAGCGUGGGGAGCAAACAGGAUUAGAUACCCUGGUAGUCCACGCCGUAAACGAUGUCGACUUGGAGGUUGUGCCCUUGAGGCGUGGCUUCCGGAGCUAACGCGUUAAGUCGACCGCCUGGGGAGUACGGCCGCAAGGUUAAAACUCAAAUGAAUUGACGGGGGCCCGCACAAGCGGUGGAGCAUGUGGUUUAAUUCGAUGCAACGCGAAGAACCUUACCUGGUCUUGACAUCCACGGAAGUUUUCAGAGAUGAGAAUGUGCCUUCGGGAACCGUGAGACAGGUGCUGCAUGGCUGUCGUCAGCUCGUGUUGUGAAAUGUUGGGUUAAGUCCCGCAACGAGCGCAACCCUUAUCCUUUGUUGCCAGCGGUCCGGCCGGGAACUCAAAGGAGACUGCCAGUGAUAAACUGGAGGAAGGUGGGGAUGACGUCAAGUCAUCAUGGCCCUUACGACCAGGGCUACACACGUGCUACAAUGGCGCAUACAAAGAGAAGCGACCUCGCGAGAGCAAGCGGACCUCAUAAAGUGCGUCGUAGUCCGGAUUGGAGUCUGCAACUCGACUCCAUGAAGUCGGAAUCGCUAGUAAUCGUGGAUCAGAAUGCCACGGUGAAUACGUUCCCGGGCCUUGUACACACCGCCCGUCACACCAUGGGAGUGGGUUGCAAAAGAAGUAGGUAGCUUAACCUUCGGGAGGGCGCUUACCACUUUGUGAUUCAUGACUGGGGUG
rnacentral:rRNA from 1 species